rnacentral:lncRNA from 1 species
CGAGCUGCCAGCGCCUGGCGCCGGCCGGAGUAUUAAAUGCUCGCAUGUGGGCGGCCACGCGACCGCGACUUGUGCUACGUCGCCGUUGGAGCGUUGCGCGAAGCCGGGCGGUUCCGGACAUCCGGUUGCUUGCCGCGGCAGGGAGCAUGUACGCGUGCCGCCGAUCGAGCGUGGGGACGAACGACGGUGGCACACCUGGAGUGGCAGUGCAGAGACGUGCAUUGG